rnacentral:rRNA from 1 species
AAGUCUCUUGGAAAAGAGCAUCAAGGAGGGUGACAAUCCCGUUCUUGCCCCUAGUUUCUGUCGCGCGUACGGCCCGUUUUCUAAGAGUCGAGUUGCUUGGGAUUGCAGCUCAAAGCGGGUGGUAAAUUCCAUCUAAAGCUAAACACGGGUGGGAGACCGAUAGCGAACAAGUACCGUGAGGGAAAGAUGCAAAGAACUUUGAAAAGAGAGUUAAAGAGUGCCUGAAAUUGCUGAAAGGGAAGCGAAGGAAACCAGUGUGUGACAUAUCCGCUUCUCCUUUGCCCCUCGNNUUGGUUUSCGCCUAUGUCGUGGCCAGGGCCGGGUCGAGUUGCGGGAGCCUGCACUUCGGAAGGUAGCCUCUCCUCGGAGGGUGAAUACCGUGGUGUGUCGUCGCGAUUCUGGCCGGUUCUGACGAAAUGGUUUUCUUUACCCCGUCU